GAUGAACGCUGGCGGCGUGCCUAAUACAUGCAAGUCGAGCGAACGGACGAGAAGCUUGCUUCUCUGAUGUUAGCGGCGGACGGGUGAGUAACACGUGGAUAACCUACCUAUAAGACUGGGAUAACUUCGGGAAACCGGAGCUAAUACCGGAUAAUAUUUUGAACCGCAUGGUUCAAAAGUGAAAGACGGUCUUGCUGUCACUUAUAGAUGGAUCCGCGCUGCAUUAGCUAGUUGGUAAGGUAACGGCCUACCAAGGCAACGAUGCAUAGCCGACCUGAGAGGGUGAUCGGCCACACUGGGACUGAGACACGGUCCAGACUCCUACGGGAGGCAGCAGUAGGGAAUCUUCCGCAAUGGGCGAAAGCCUGACGGAGCAACGCCGCGUGAGUGAUGAAGGUCUUCGGAUCGUAAAACUCUGUUAUUAGGGAAGAACAUAUGUGUAAGUAACUGUGCACAUCUUGACGGUACCUAAUCAGAAAGCCACGGCUAACUACGUG
rnacentral:rRNA from 1 species